CCUACGGGAGGCAGCAGUAGGGAAUAUUGCUCAAUGGGGGAAACCCUGAAGCAGCAACGCCGCGUGGAGGAUGAAGGUUUUCGGAUUGUAAAGCCCUAUUGUCAGAGAAGAAAAUGACGGUACCUAACGAAUAAGCACCGGCUAACUCCGUGCCAGCAGCCGCGGUAAUACGGAGGGUGCAAGCGUUAUGCGGAAUCACUGGGCGUAAAGAGAGCGUAGGCGGGAUAGCAAGUCAGAUGUGAAAGCCUAUGGCUUAACCAUAGGACUGCAUUUGAAACUGUUAUUCUAGAGUAUGGGAGAGGUAGGUGGAAUUCUUGGUGUAGGGGUAAAAUCCGUAGAGAUCAAGAGGAAUACUCGUUGCGAAGGCGACCUGCUAGAACAUAACUGACGCUGAUGCGCGAAAGCGUGGGGAGCAAACAGGAUUAGAUACCCUUGUAGUC
rnacentral:rRNA from 1 species